rnacentral:rRNA from 1 species
UACGGAGGGGACUAGCGUUGUUCGGAAUUACUGGGCGUAAAGCGCACGUAGGCGGAUUUGUAAGUCAGGGGUGAAAGCCCGGGGCUCAACCCCGGAACUGCCUUUGAUACUGCAAAUCUCGAGUCCGGAAGAGGUGAGUGGAAUUCCUAGUGUAGAGGUGAAAUUCGUAGAUAUUAGGAAGAACACCAGUGGCGAAGGCGGCUCACUGGUCCGGUACUGACGCUGAGGUGCGAAAGCGUGGGGAGCAAACAGG